rnacentral:rRNA from 1 species
GAUGAACGCUGGCGGCGUGCCUAAUACAUGCAAGUCGAGCGAACGGACGAGAAGCUUGCUUUUCUGAUGUUAGCGGCGGACGGGUGAGCAACACGUGGAUAACCUACCUAUAAGACUGGGAUAACUUCGGGAAACCGGAGCUAAUACCGGAUAAUAUUUUGAACCGCAUGGUUCAAAAGUGAAAGACGGUCUUGCUGUCACUUAUAGAUGGAUCCGCGCUGCAUUAGCUAGUUGGUAAGGUAACGGCUUACCAAGGCAACGAUGCAUAGCCGACCUGAGAGGGUGAUCGGCCACACUGGAACUGAGACACGGUCCAGACUCCUACGGGAGGCAGCAGUAGGGAAUCUUCCGCAAUGGGCGAAAGCCUGACGGAGCAACGCCGCGUGAGUGAUGAAGGUCUUCGGAUCGUAAAACUCUGUUAUUAGGGAAGAACAUAUGUGUAAGUAACUGUGCACAUCUUGACGGUACCUAAUCAGAAAGCCACGGCUAACUACGUGCCAGCAGCCGCGGUAAUACGUAGGUGGCAAGCGUUAUCCGGAAUUAUUGGGCGUAAAGCGCGCGUAGGCGGUUUUUUAAGUCUGAUGUGAAAGCCCACGGCUCAACCGUGGAGGGUCAUUGGAAACUGGAAAACUUGAGUGCAGAGGAGAAAAGUGGAAUUCCAUGUGUAGCGGUGAAAUGCGCAGAGAUGUGGAGGAACACCAGUGGCGAAGGCGACUUUCUGGUCUGUAACUGACGCUGAUGUGCGAAAGCGUGGGGAUCAAACAGGAUUAGAUACCCUGGUAGUCCACGCCGUAAACGAUGAGUGCUAGGUGUUAGGGGGUUUCCGCCCCUUAGUGCUGCAGCUAACGCAUUAAGCACUCCGCCUGGGGAGUACGACCGCAAGGUUGAAACUCAAAGGAAUUGACGGGGGCCCGCACAAGCGGUGGAGCAUGUGGUUUAAUUCGAAGCAACGCGAAGAACCUUACCAAAUCUUGACAUCCUUUGACAACUCUAGAGAUAGAGCCUUCCCCUUCGGGGGACAAAGUGACAGGUGGUGCAUGGUUGUCGUCAGCUCGUGUCGUGAGAUGUUGGGUUAAGUCCCGCAACGAGCGCAACCCUUAAGCUUAGUUGCCAUCAUUAAGUUGGGCACUCUAAGUUGACUGCCGGUGACAAACCGGAGGAAGGUGGGGAUGACGUCAAAUCAUCAUGCCCCUUAUGAUUUGGGCUACACACGUGCUACAAUGGACAAUACAAAGGGCAGCGAAACCGCGAGGUCAAGCAAAUCCCAUAAAGUUGUUCUCAGUUCGGAUUGUAGUCUGCAACUCGACUACAUGAAGCUGGAAUCGCUAGUAAUCGUAGAUCAGCAUGCUACGGUGAGUACGUUCCCGGGUCU